rnacentral:scRNA from 1 species
CUCGGACGCAAGCCUUACUCGGUGGAUUCCUU